AUCUUCCACAAUGGUCGAAAGCCUGAUGGAGCAACGCUGCGUGAGUGAAGAAGGUUUUCGGAUCGUAAAACUCUGUUGCAAGGGAAGAACAAGUACAGUAGUAACUGGCUGUACCUUGACGGUACCUUAUUAGAUAGUCACGUCUAACUACGUCCCAGCAGCCGCGGUAAUACGUAGGUGGCAAGCGUUGUCCGGAUUUAUGGGGGGUAAAGCGUGCGCAGGCGGACCUUUAAGUCUGAGGUGAAAGCCCACGGCUCAACCGUGGAGGGUCAUGGGGAACUGGGGGACUUGAGUGCAGAAGAGGAAAGAGGAAUGCCAAGUGUAGCGGUGAAAUGCGUAGAGAUUUGGAGGAACACCAGUGGCGAAGGCGACUUGCUGGUCUGUAACUGACGCUGAGGCGAGAAAGCGUGGGGAGCAAACA
rnacentral:rRNA from 1 species